rnacentral:lncRNA from 1 species
AGGAUGUCAUCGCUAGAGUGAGCAAGCAGAUCUCGCGGGAGGAGAUGUCGCGAGAGCUCAGCGGCCCUGCAACUGCCACAGAAAGGUUACUUUUCCGGAAGUAACGUCAAUGGAAACCGCCCAAAAACCAGGGACUCAUUUUGGUCCUGCAGGUGGGAGGGACUGCUUGGCGUUGUCGCUGGAAGUUUUCUCCAGGUAGUGCUGGCCUACCCCGAGGCCAGCUCGGGCGGGGAUGGAUCCUUGUAAGAGCCAACUUGGAGACGUCUCCUGGUCGUCUUCCUGACGACACUGUCCCCCUUCGGCCCGAGACCGUUGGCACGAAGGCGCUUUCACCUUCCAUGCACUUUCCAUUUCCCCAGUGGGGUGAGUCGCCCUGCCCACACUCGAGCAACCGCAGAGCUGGGGCGGGCGGGGCGGGGCGGGGCGGUUGUUUCAUGGUUAUUUUGUCUGGGUUUGGUUAAUAGCCCAGGCUAGCUAGCGUCAAGCUCGGGGGAUGUCUCCUGCCUCAGCCUCCCGAGGACUGAGGUUACAGUGUGCGCCAUCAUGCAGUCUUCUGCACUUAAUCCACUCGUUUCCAAGACGUAUAUAGAAUUGUUGGACUUCACCCUUUCGUUUUCUGCAAGAAUCGCUUGUUUAAUAUUAUCUGUUUUGCCUGUACUGUGCCUUGUGCAACUCCAGUUGGGUCCAAGUUGCAUCCUUUGGAACUGAACUGCUUAAAAUUAAAGUCUAGAAAAUGAUUAUUU